AAAAUAACAAUGAUUUCCCUAGUAACGGCGAGUGAACAGGAAAAAGCUCAAAGUUGGAACCUGUUUGGCCUAGCUAAACCGGAUUGUAAACUGUAGAAGUGUUUUCCAGGCAAGCCGGACCGAUAAGUCCUUUGGAACAGGGCAUCAUAGAGGGUGAGAAUCCCGUCUUCGGUCUGAGCAUUUGCCUUUUGCGAUACACUUUCAAAGAGUCAGGUUGUUUGGGAAUGCAGCCUAAAUUGGGUGGUAAAUCUCACCUAAAGCUAAAUAUUGGCGAGAAACCGAUAGCGAACAAGUACCGUGAGGGAAAGAUGAAAAGAACUUUGAAAAGAGAGUUAAACAGUAUGUGAAAUUGUUAAAAGGGAACCGUUUGGAGCCAGACUGGCUUGUCUGUAAUCAGUCUAAGUUUCGGCUUGGAUGCACUUGCAGGCUAUGCCUGCCAACGACAAUUUGGCUUGAGGGAAAAAACUAGGGGAAAUGUGGCCCAUUCGUGGGUGUUAUAGUCCCUUAGAAAAUACCUUGGGCUGGAUUGAGGUACGCAGCGAAUGCUAUUUGGCGAGUUGGCUGGGAAUAUUUUCUGAGGUGCUCCGGUACUGAGGUUGAUAUUUCCAGUUACACUUCUAUUCGCUUAGGUUGUUGGCUUAAUGACUCUAAAUGAC
rnacentral:rRNA from 1 species